rnacentral:rRNA from 1 species
UGCUGGAGGUAUCAGAAGUGCGAAUGCUGACAUAAGUAACGAUAAAGCGGGUGAAAAGCCCGCUCGCCGGAAGACCAAGGGUUCCUGUCCAACGUUAAUCGGGGCAGGGUGAGUCGACCCCUAAGGCGAGGCCGAAAGGCGUAGUCGAUGGGAAACGGGUUAAUAUUCCCGUACUUGGUGUUACUGCGAAGGGGGGACGGAGAAGGCUAUGUUGGCCGGGCGACGGUAGUCCCGGUUUAAGCGUGUAGGUGUGUGUUCCAGGUAAAUCCGGUUCACUUUAACACUGAGGCGUGAUGACGAGGCACCACGGUGCUGAAGCAACAAAUGCCCUGCUUCCAGGAAAAGCCUCUAAGCAUCAGGUAACAUCAAAUCGUACCCCAAACCGACACAGGUGGUCAGGUAGAGAAUACCAAGGCGCUUGAGAGAACUCGGGUGAAGGAACUAGGCAAAAUGGUGCCGUAACUUCGGGAGAAGGCACGCUGACACGUAGGUGAAGUGAUUUACUCAUGGAGCUGAAGUCAGUCGAAGAUACCAGCUGGCUGCAACUGUUUAUUAAAAACACAGCACUGUGCAAACACGAAAGUGGACGUAUACGGUGUGACGCCUGCCCGGUGCCGGAAGGUUAAUUGAUGGGGUCAGCGCAAGCGAAGCUCCUGAUCGAAGCCCCGGUAAACGGCGGCCGUAACUAUAACGGUCCUAAGGUAGCGAAAUUCCUUGUCGGGUAAGUUCCGACCUGCACGAAUGGCGUAAUGAUGGCCAGGCUGUCUCCACCCGAGACUCAGUGAAAUUGAACUCGCUGUGAAGAUGCAGUGUACCCGCGGCAAGACGGAAAGACCCCGUGAACCUUUACUAUAGCUUGACACUGAACAUUGAGCCUUGAUGUGUAGGAUAGGUGGGAGGCUUUGAAGCGUGGACGCCAGUCUGCGUGGAGCCGACCUUGAAAUACCACCCUUUAAUGUUUGAUGUUCUAACGUGGACCCGUAAUCCGGGUUGCGGACAGUGUCUGGUGGGUAGUUUGACUGGGGCGGUCUCCUCCUAAAGAGUAACGGAGGAGCACGAAGGUUGGCUAAUCCUGGUCGGACAUCAGGAGGUUAGUGCAAUGGCAUAAGCCAGCUUGACUGCGAGCGUGACGGCGCGAGCAGGUGCGAAAGCAGGUCAUAGUGAUCCGGUGGUUCUGAAUGGAAGGGCCAUCGCUCAACGGAUAAAAGGUACUCCGGGGAUAACAGGCUGAUACCGCCCAAGAGUUCAUAUCGACGGCGGUGUUUGGCACCUCGAUGUCGGCUCAUCACAUCCUGGGGCUGAAGUAGGUCCCAAGGGUAUGGCUGUUCGCCAUUUAAAGUGGUACGCGAGCUGGGUUUAGAACGUCGUGAGACAGUUCGGUCC